UACGUAGGUGGCGAACGUUGUCCGGAUUUACUGGGCGUAAAGCGCACGCAGGUGGCUGAGUCAGUCGAUUGUGAAAGCCCUGGGCUUAACCUGGGAAUUGCAGUCGAUACUACUCAGCUAGAGUAUGGGAGAGGGUAGUGGAAUUCCCGGUGUAGCGGUGAAAUGCGUAGAUAUCAGGAAGAACACCCGUGGCUAAGGCGGCUCUCUAGUACGGUACUGACGCUGAGACGCGAAAGCGUGGGAGCGAACAGG
rnacentral:rRNA from 1 species